rnacentral:rRNA from 1 species
GUAGGUGGCACUGUAAGUUGGUAGUGAAAGCGUUCGGCUCAACCGAAUAAACAUUAUCAAAACUGCAGAGCUAGAGGAUGAGAGAGGUUAUUGGAAUUCCUAGUGUAGGAGUGAAAUCCGUAGAUAUUAGGAGGAACACCGAUGGCGUAGGCAGAUAACUGGCUCAUUCCUGACACUAAGGCACGAAAGCGUGGGGAGCAAACAGGAUUAGAUACCCUGGUAGUCCACGCCGUAAACUAUGGAUGCUAGCUGUUAGAAGUAUCGACCCUUCUAGUAGCGAAGCUAACGCGUUAAGCAUCCCGCCUGUGGAGUACGGCCGCAAGGCUAAAACAUAAAGGAAUUGACGGGGACCCGCACAAGCGGUGGAGCGUGUUGUUUAAUUCGAAGCUAAGCGAAGAACCUUACCCAGGCUUGACAUCCUUGGAAGCUCUGCGAAAGCAGAGUGUGCCUUCGGGAACCAAGUGACAGGUGCUGCAUGGCCGUCGUCAGCUCGUGUCGUGAGACGUUAGGUUAAGUCCUAUAACGAGCGCAACCCUUGUGGCUAGUUGAAUUUUUCUAGUCAAACAGCCCUGGUAACAGGGAGGAAGGAGGGGUCGAAGUCAGGUCAGUAUUGCCCUUACGCCUGGGGCUACAAACACGCUACAAUGGCCGGUACAAAGGGCUGCCAAGUCGCGAGACGGAGCAAAUCCCAUCAAAGCCGGUCCCAGUUCGGAUUGCAGGCUGAAACUCGCCUGCAUGAAGUCGGAAUCGCUAGUAACGGUAGGUCAGCACACUACCGUGAAUACGUUCCCGGGUCUUGUACACACCGCCCGUCAAACCAUGAAAGUCGCCAAUACCUGACGUCCUAGCUUGCCUAGGCCUAAGGUAGGGGAGAUGAUUGGGGUU